AGUAUUUAUAUGAAACUUUUUAGUAUUCUGUAUUUAGAAAUGAAUGUCUGUUCCUUAACAAAGGAUAUAGAUUGAACUAACAUUACAAUGCUUCAGAGUUGGACCUACCCCCCACCCCCCCCACGCCACCCUUCUUUGAAUGAAUAACAGUGCCUCAGAGUGCUGACAUAUUGUUUCAGAAUUAAUUUUUGAGUUUCAUUGUGUGAAUUACACAUUUGAUCACAUGCCAAAUCUAAAUGAUUUG
rnacentral:lncRNA from 1 species